AUAAUGGGGAAAUGAGCCUAAGAGAGAAACAAGGUUAAACUAAUGGACAGAUUAGAUAAUGUUGUAGGAAAGUUAGCCAUAAGGUUCAGGGAGAUGUCAGUCUGCAGUUUUCAGAAAGAAUAGAAUACUGGAGUUUAAGGUUUGUAAGAAGCAAAUAAACCCAUUCAUGGGUUUAGAGAGGGGUUGGUGUAAAGCAGGGUAUGGGGAGAGAUAAGGCAU